rnacentral:lncRNA from 1 species
CGUCCAGCGGCUGCGGGGGUCCUCGCCGGUGCUCACGACCGUCCUCUGCCCUAGCUGUCCCCUUAUCCUCCUUUCCUCAGCUCUCCUGCACCCCGGCUUUUGCCCCAGCGCUCCUCGCUGCCUCCCUUCCUCUCUCUGGACUUGCGGUCACUCUCUGCUUGCCCUUGCCCUAGCGGAGCAUACAAGGGCAACUGGCCAGCCCAAGAUCUCAAAACCCACUAUGGUGCGAUGGUGGCAUUGAGACAGCCCUGAAGGGGUCAAGAUGCUUGGGCGCGGGUUGAAGAUGGGCGUGACUGGCGUGAGACCAGAUGGUGUGGUCACAGCCCUAGGACUUUGCCCGUACUCUGAAUAAUACCAACUUUGGCCCUGCAACUCUACUCUGCAUCAGAAGUCAGAAUAAAUCUUCCUGUUGCUACUCGAAGUACUCGGGACUCCCUCUGGGCAGAAAAGGUCACGUUCUGGAGGGUGGGAAAGGUUACUGCAGGGUGCUUAACAGGGAGGG